rnacentral:rRNA from 1 species
GGGGACGUGGAUAACCUCGGGAAACUGAGGAUAAACCGCGAUAGGUCAUGAUUUCUGGAAUGAUUCAUGGCCCAAAUCUAUAUGGCCCCUGGAUUGGACUGCGGCCGAUCAGGCUGUUGGUGAGGUAAUGGCCCACCAAACCUGUUACCGGUACGGGCUCUGAGAGGAGGAGCCCGGAGAUGGGCACUGAGACAAGGGCCCAGGCCCUAUGGGGCGCAGCAGGCGCGAAACCUCUGCAAUAGGCGAAAGCCUGACAGGGUUACUCUGAGUGGUUUCCGCUAAGGGAACCUUUUGGCACCUCUACAAAUGGUGCAGAAUAAGGGGUGGGCAAGUCUGGUGUCAGCCGCCGCGGUAAUACCAGCACCCCGAGUGGUCGGGACGAUUAUUGGGCCUAAAGCAUCCGUAGCCGGUCCUGCAAGUCUUCCGUUAAAUCCAGCUGCUCAACAGAUGGGCUGCGGGGGAUACUACAGGGCUAGGAGGCGGGAGAGGCAAGCGGUACUUUAUGGGUAGGGGUAAAAUCCGUUGAUCCAUUGAAGACCACCAGUGGCGAAGGCGGCUUGCCAGAACGCGCUCGACGGUGAGGGAUGAAAGCUGGGGGAGCAAACCGGAUUAGAUACCCGGGUAGUCCCAGCUGUAAACGAUGCAGACUCGGUGAUGAGUUGGCUUAUUGCUAACUCAGUGUCGCAGGGAAGCCGUUAAGUUUGCCGCCUGGGGAGUACGGUCGCAAGACUGAAACUUAAAGGAAUUGGCGGG